GUGGGGAAUAUUGGACAAUGGGCGAAAGCCUGAUCCAGCCAUGCCGCGUGUGUGAAGAAGGUCUUCGGAUUGUAAAGCACUUUAAGUUGGGAGGAAGGGCAGUAAGUUAAUACCUUGCUGUUUUGACGUUACCGACAGAAUAAGCACCGGCUAACUUCGUGCCAGCAGCCGCGGUAAUACGAAGGGUGCAAGCGUUAAUCGGAAUUACUGGGCGUAAAGCGCGCGUAGGUGGUUUUGUAAGUUGGAGGUGAAAUCGCCGGGCUCAACCUGGGAACUGCCUCCAAAACUGCAUGACUAGAGUACGGUAGAGGGUAGUGGAAUUUCCUGUGUAGCGGUGAAAUGCGUAGAUAUAGGAAGGAACACCAGUGGCGAAGGCGACUACCUGGACUGAUACUGACACUGAGGUGCGAAAGCGUGGGGAGCAAACAGGAUUAGAAACCCCUGUAGUCC
rnacentral:rRNA from 1 species